AGAGUUUGAUCAUGGCUCAGAACGAACGCUGGCGGCGUGCUUAACACAUGCAAGUCGAACGCGAAAGUUUCUCUCGAGAAACGAGUAGAGUGGCGCACGGGUGAGUAACGCGUAAAUAAUCUACCCUUGCAUCUGGGAUAACCCACCGAAAGGUGUGCUAAUACCGGAUACGUUCUUUUAACCGCGAGGUUUUAAGAAGAAAGGUGGCCUCUGAUAUAAGCUACUGUGCAGGGAGGAGUUUGCGUACCAUUAGCUAGUUGGUAGGGUAAUGGCCUACCAAGGCAACGAUGGUUAGCGGGUCUGAGAGGAUGAUCCGCCACACUGGAACUGGAACACGGACCAGACUCCUACGGGAGGCAGCAGUGAGGAAUAUUGCGCAAUGGGGGAAACCCUGACGCAGCGACGCCGCGUGGAUGAUGAAGGCCUUCGGGUCGUAAAAUCCUGUCAGAUGGAAAGAAGUGUAUAUAUGUUAAUACCAUAUAUAUUUGACGGUACCAUCAAAG
rnacentral:rRNA from 1 species